UACAGAGGUCUCGAGCGUUAGGCGGAAUCACUGGGCUUAAAGCGUGUGUAGGCGGAUCGUUAAGUGCCUUGUGAAAUCCCACGGCUCAACCGUGGAACUGCUUGGCAUACUGGCGGUCUUGAGCAACCUAGGGGCGAGCGGAACAAAUGGUGGAGCGGUGAAAUGCGUAGAUAUCAGGAGGAACACCGGUGGUGUAGACGGCUCUCUGGACCGUAACUGACGCUGAGACACGAAAGCGUGGGUAGCAAACAGG
rnacentral:rRNA from 1 species